rnacentral:rRNA from 1 species
AGUGAACGCUGGCGGUAGGCCUAACACAUGCAAGUCGAACGGCAGCACAGGAGAGCUUGCUCUCUGGGUGGCGAGUGGCGGACGGGUGAGGAAUACAUCGGAAUCUACUCUGUCGUGGGGGAUAACGUAGGGAAACUUACGCUAAUACCGCAUACGACCUACGGGCGAAAGCAGGGGAUCGUCGGACCUUGCGCGAUUGAAUGAGCCGAUGUCGGAUUAGCUAGUUGGCGGGGUAAAGGCCCACCAAGGCGACGAUCCGUAGCUGGUCUGAGAGGAUGAUCAGCCACACUGGAACUGAGACACGGUCCAGACUCCUACGGGAGGCAGCAGUGGGGAAUAUUGGACAAUGGGCGCAAGCCUGAUCCAGCCAUACCGCGUGGGUGAAGAAGGCCUUCGGGUUGUAAAGCCCUUUUGUUGGGAAAGAAAUCCAGCUGGCUAAUACCCGGUUGGGAUGACGGUACCCAAAGAAUAAGCACCGGCUAACUUCGUGCCAGCAGCCGCGGUAA